rnacentral:rRNA from 1 species
GACGAACGCUGGCGGCGUGCUUAACACAUGCAAGUCGAACGGAAAGGCCCUGCUUUUGUGGGGUGCUCGAGUGGCGAACGGGUGAGUAACACGUGAGUAACCUGCCCUUGACUUUGGGAUAACUUCAGGAAACUGGGGCUAAUACCGGAUAGGAGCUCCUGCUGCAUGGGGGGGGUUGGAAAGUUUCGGCGGUUGGGGAUGGACUCGCGGCUUAUCAGCUUGUUGGUGGGGUAGUGGCUUACCAAGGCUUUGACGGGUAGCCGGCCUGAGAGGGUGACCGGCCACAUUGGGACUGAGAUACGGCCCAGACUCCUACGGGAGGCAGCAGUGGGGAAUAUUGCACAAUGGGCGGAAGCCUGAUGCAGCAACGCCGCGUGCGGGAUGACGGCCUUCGGGUUGUAAACCGCUUUCGCCUGUGACGAAGCGUGAGUGACGGUAAUGGGUAAAGAAGCACCGGCUAACUACGUGCCAGCAGCCGCCGCAGUAA